UAUGCCGCAGGUUCACCUACGGAUGUUCCUCCGCUUAUUGAUAUGCCGCAGGUUCACCUACGGAUGUUCCUCCGCUUAUUGAUAUGCCGCAGGUUCACCUACGGAUGUUCCUCCGCUUAUUGAUAUGCCGCAGGUUCACCUACGGAUGUUCCUCCGCUUAUUGAUAUGCCGCAGGUUCACCUACGGAUGUUCCUCCGCUUAUUGAUAUGCCGCAGGUUCACCUACGGAUGUUCCUCCGCUUAUUGAUAUGCCGCAGGUUCACCUACAGAUGUUCCUCCGCUUAUUGAUAUGCCGCAGGUUCACCUACAAGAUGUUCCUCCGCUUAUUGGUAUGCCGCAAGUUCACCUA
rnacentral:rRNA from 1 species